AGAGUUUGAUCCUGGCUCAGGAUGAACGCUAGCGGCAGGCCUAAUACAUGCAAGUCGAGGGGUAACAUGACGCUUCGGUGUUGAUGACGACCGGCGAACGGGUGCGUAACGCGUAUGCAAUCUACCCACAGCAGAGGGAUAGCCCGUGGAAACAUGGAUUAAUACCUCAUAACACAGGGGGCCCACAUGGGCAUAUUGUUAAAGCUUCGGCGGCUGUGGAUGAGCAUGCGUCCCAUUAGUUAGUUGGUAAGGUAACGGCUUACCAAGACGAUGAUGGGUAGGGGUUCUGAGAGGAUGAUCCCCCACACUGGUACUGAGAUACGGACCAGACUCCUACGGGAGGCAGCAGUAGGGAAUAUUGGUCAAUGGACGGAAGUCUGAACCAGCCAUGCCGCGUGCAGGAAGACGGCCUUCUGGGUUGUAAACUGCUUUUAUCAGGGAAGAAUAAGCUUCUUGCGAGAAGUGAUGCCGGUACCUGAAGAAUAAGCACCGGCUAACUCCGUGCCAGCAGCCGCGGUAAUACGGAGGGUGCGAGCGUUGUCCGGAUUUAUUGGGUUUAAAGGGUGCGUAGGCGGCCUGUUAAGUCAGUGGUGAAAGGUAUCAGCUUAACUGAUGAAGUGCCAUUGAAACUGGCAGGC
rnacentral:rRNA from 1 species